rnacentral:rRNA from 1 species
UACAGAGGGGGCAAGCGUUGUCCGGAAUUAUUGGGCGUAAAGAGCUCGUAGGCGGUUUGUCACGUCGGAUGUGAAAGCCCGGGGCUUAACCCCGGGUCUGCAUUCGAUACGGGCAGACUGGAGUGUGGUAGGGGAGAUCGGAAUUCCUGGUGUAGCGGUGAAAUGCGCAGAUAUCAGGAGGAACACCGGUGGCGAAGGCGGAUCUCUGGGCCAUUACUGACGCUGAGGAGCGAAAGCGUGGGGAGCGAACAGG